rnacentral:rRNA from 1 species
CAGCAGCCACGGGAAUACGUAGGGUGCAAGCGUUAAUCGGAAUUACUGGGCGUAGAGCGUGCGCAGGCGGUUUGUUAAGACAGAUGUGAAAUCCCCGGGCUUAACCUGGGAACUGCAUUUGUGACUGGCGAGCUAGAGUAUGGCAGAGGGGGGUAGAAUUCCACGUGUAGCAGUGAAAUGCGUAGAGAUGUGGAGGAAUACCGAUGGCGAAGGCAGCCCCCUGGGCCAAUACUGACGCUCAUGCACGAAAGCGUGGGGAGCAAACAGGAUUAGAUACCCCGGUAGUCCCUGUCUCUUAUAC